rnacentral:rRNA from 2 species
AAAUUGAAGAGUUUGAUCAUGGCUCAGAUUGAACGCUGGCGGCAGGCCUAACACAUGCAAGUCGAACGGUAACAGGAAGCAGCUUGCUGUUUCGCUGACGAGUGGCGGACGGGUGAGUAAUGUCUGGGAAACUGCCUGAUGGAGGGGGAUAACUACUGGAAA